rnacentral:rRNA from 1 species
UAACGGUCCUAAGGUAGCGAAAUUCCUUGUCGGGUAAGUUCCGACCUGCACGAAUGGCGUAACGACUUGGGCGCUGUCUCAACCAUGGACCCGGUGAAAUUGUAUUAUUCGUGAAGAUGCGAAUUACCUGCGGAAGGACGGAAAGACCCCGUGAACCUUUACUGCAGCUUGGCAUUGGCUGUUGGUGCGGUGCGUAGAGGAUAGGCAGGAGCCUGCGAACCGGGAACGCCAGUUCCCGGGGAGGCGCCCUUGGAAUACUGCCCUCACCGCAUCGGCAGCCUAACGCGCCGCCCUCAUCGGGGGCGCGGACCGUGCCAGGUGGGUAGUUUGACUGGGGCGGUCGCCUCCUAAACUGUAACGGAGGCGUGCGAAGGUUCGCUCAGGGCGGUUGGCAAUCGCCCGCAGAGCACAAGAGUACAAGCGAGCCUGACUGCGAGACCAACAAGUCGAGCAGAGACGAAAGUCGGUUCUAGUGAUCCGGCGGCCCAGCGUGGAAUGGCCGUCGCUCAACGGAUAAAAGGUACUCCGGGGAUAACAGGCUGAUCUUGCCCAAGAGUCCACAUCGACGGCAAGGUUUGGCACCUCGAUGUCGGCUCAUCGCAUCCUGGGGCUGUAGCAGGUCCCAAGGGUACGGCUGUUCGCCGUUUAAAGCGGUACGCGAGCUGGGUUCAGAACGUCGUGAGACAGUUCGGUCCCUAUCCUCCGUGGGCGCAAGAGAAUUGAGAGGAUCUGUCCCUAGUACGAGAGGACCGGGAUGGACGCACCUCUGGUGCCGCAGUUGUCGACCAACGGCACAGCUGCCUAGCUACGUGCGGAACGGAUAACCGCUGAAAGCAUCUAAGCGGGAAGCCGGCCUCGAGAUGAGUUCUCUCUUCGGUAAGGCCACUUGUAGACCACAAGUUCGAUAGGCCGCAGCUGCAAGCCCCGCGAGGGGCUCAGGCGAGCGGUACUAAUCGGCCGAGCUCUUCAUCUC